GUUUUCAUCAGCUGGAGGACUGCUUGUAAACAGGAGGUUUGCAAACAAGGGCCCGGUGGGGAAGGAGAAGAGAGAAAAUGGAAAUUCGGUUGCAGAUAUGAAACUCCAGUAUUAUUCUCAUAAGCGGGCGGUUUACAGACAGUGACGCUACAGAGUGGCAAGGGUUGAACCUGAAGUCUUAAUUAUAAACUAGGUAAGUAUUUUACCAUAGAAGUAUGUGAGGUUUAUGUCCAGACCACCUCUUUCUUUUCUCUCUCUCUCUUUCUCUGUCUCUGUCUUUCUCUGUCUCUGUCUCUGUCUCUGUCUCUCUCUUUCUUAGUUUAAGAUAUUACUACGUUGCUCAGGCUGACCUUGAAUUUAUGGUCCUCUUGCUUCAUCCUCCAGAGCGGGUGGGUCUCAAGCAGUGAUUCUCAACUUUUCUAAUGCUGGGACCCUGACCCAAAUUAUUUCUGUUGCUACUCCAUAAUUGUAAUUUUGAUCUGGUAAGGGACCCUUGGGAGGGGUCCUGCAGCCCCUCCUUGGGUUGCGACCCACAGCUUGAGAACCACUGGUUUAAAGACUUACGCCUUUAGUCACCAGCGUGUCUGAAUAAUGAAACAAAACACAACAAAAAAGAAAAA